rnacentral:tRNA from 1 species
AAUUAUUUAGCUUAAAGCAAAUGGUUUGAACCCAUUUUAUAGAAGUAAAAUCUUCUAAUAAUUU